UGUUUUGGUAAAAAAAACUUUGUGAAUGUUUAGACAUAUACCUGCCCCUCUCAUAUUAGUUAAGCUUUUAAUUUGUCUCAUUCUUGGUUGAUGAAUACUUAAUUCUUACUUUUUGCACUUUCUAUUUAUAACUUUGGCCACUGUAUUAUGACUUAGAAACACUUAGUUAGCUUUGAUUUCUAUCUUUUGCAUGGUUGUUGAAGUAAGUACAUCUGUGAUGCUGAAAGUUUUCUUAAUGUUUUCUAGGAUGACAUUGUUCUUAAUUCUUUGUGCAGGCAUGCACUUAGACUCUGAUCUAGUGAUGUUAAGCUUGAAGGAAAUUGGAAAACUCAAGGCUGCCUCCAAGAGAAGAGGCAAAAUACUUGGUGUGCAAGCAAUCUCUCACGAGAGACUCUUACUUUUGUUUGCAUUUUGCAAGAGGGUCAUCUAAAGUGAAUUUGAUGUCUUUGAAACAAGAUUACUUGGAAUGGAGAAUGUUACAAUGUACCUACAUUUGGACUACGUUUUUAUUUCUUGACGGUGGAAGAGCUGUGCAGGGCGCUUUUGGAAAAAAUGCUCUAGUUGGAUUUGGUUUGACAACUUACACAAUGCUUGGAUUAGGAGUGGUGUGUAGAUGUGACUGGAGCUUACAGUGCUCUAAAGACGGAGCUUAACAUAAGCUUGACAGCAACAGGCCUUUUGUGGACUACAACUGGCUUUAUUGCAAAGAGGAUUACACAUGGACCUGUGGAAGAAAGGGAAACAAGAAAGGGAAACAGGUAUAUGACGAGUGCACAACAAAUGGACUCACAACAAAGACAAGUGCACAAAGGAUGAUGAAUUGAAGGAUGGAGCAAGUUUCGUGCAUGGUUUACUUUUGUGUAUCUUGUAAUUUUUUGUUUUUCAUUUUUGAAGUAAAAAAUGUUCAAGAUUAUAAUACUUUAUUAUGUUAUGCUUUCAAAUUUAAGUUAGAACUA